GAGGCUUUGCUUUCCUAUCUGUCUCGCCGCGUGCUUGGCCGCCCAGGGCAAGCAGGAUUCUCCCAAGAAAGGCGCUCUGAUUUGGGGGAACACAAGCCAACUUCGAGCCUUCCUACCAGUCUCGCCUACCAGUUGUAUUGUUUAAAAGGUCAGCUGCAUCAGAAAAUGAGGGAGCUGUGUGGUCCCUGAGGUUGGCUAGAGCACAAGGACAGGGUCACUUUAAACCCAUCUGGAAGCAGCCGUCAGGAGGUGAAAGGGGAUGUACUUUGGCUGUCACAUUGAAGACACCAUGGGGGAGCACUAAUUUGAGGAGUAGUGCGGUGAGUUUGGUUAGAGAAAGAAAAGUAGAUUUCCAAGAUUCGAGCAAAUGGAAUUUUGUUUAAGGGUCUGGUGUCAGAAGUUGCCGGAUAAUGGUUUUCGCUCUGAUGAGGAGCUCUGUUUCUUAAAAAGGGUCACCUUAUACUGGAGGGCUAACAGCAUGGUGGUAGGGUUUUCACAAGAAAAUAUAUAACAGUUCCAGCUAGUUUGC
rnacentral:lncRNA from 1 species